ACAAGACUUUCCUCUCCUCUUGUCCAAUAGGAAAUGGAGUGGGAUCACUGUCAGUCACAGGUGAUGUUGGAUAUGCAGGAAACGAGAGAAAGCUUCGGCUGAUGCAGGAGCUACACAGAGCAGAAGCAUAGCACCGGAAUAGGCUGAACGCCGUAUUUCCAUCGCCUUUUCAGUGGAAAUGCAAUGAAAUACCAAACAUGGGAGGACCAAAACAGUCAUAGCGCUUCAGGGGGAUACGAUGCCGAAGAAUUGCCAUUGGUUAAUUUCUACACUUUUUACAAGAAAUAAACGUUGCUUUUGAAAAUGCCAUUUCACAGCAACUCCUUAAUGCCUUUCUCUAUCCAAGCCAUUUUGAACAAAAAAAGAGUACAGUGGACACUUGGCAGAUUUCGACGACUGCUUCUCGAAGACUGCGUGUUGGAAAAUAUUUGGGGAAAUGGAUACUGGAUGCGGGAAAGUCCUCCGAACGUGUAGAAGUGACGAGGGGGCUUGCAUGGUCAGCGAUCAGAGAAGUUACGACUCCGAUUCAGGUCUCAGUGAUGACAAUGCCAGCAAGGCCCUGGCCGUUUGUAAGUCAGAGAAAAACAGGGAUCCUGUUUCAGACGUUCUGGAAGAAAGUUUGCAGGACGAAACGCCCCAGAAUGCACUUCUGUCGAUAACGCACAAGGUCUUAGAGACUGUGAACCUAGUGUUUCAGAUUCCAACAACGUAGCCGAUGCCAGUCGUGAUAAAAGUUCGGAUCAGCCCAAACAGAGGAAAAAACGCUCAAGGGCUGCGUUCUCCCACGCGCAAGUGUUCGAACUCGAGCGGAGGUUCAAUCGCCAAAGAUACCUAUCCGGACCGGAGAGAGCAGACCUGGCGGCUUCCCUGAAGCUGUCAGAGACGCAGGUCAAAAUAUGGUUCCAGAAUCGUAGAUCUAAAACAAAACGUCAUCAAAUGGCUGCCGACUUGAUUGCCUCGGUGCCUGCAGCAAAGAAAGUAGCGGUGAAAGUGUUAGUUCGAGACGACCAGAGACAGUACAACCCCGGAGAACUACUGCGGCCUCCUCUCCUCUCUCUCCAACCGUCUUAUUACUACCCCUAAUGCCUAUUGCUCUCUACUUGUGCUGGGAAUCAAUGAGAUUUGAAUAGCCUACGUUGUAUUUAUGUGUCCCCAUUAGGAAAUCGAGGCAUUUGCUUUCUUGGCCCUUUAAGAAGAAACCAGGAGAGAUUCAAUAAACUCGGAAAUUGUUAUGUCUCACAUAUUUGAACUGCCUAAUGGUGUCUAGACUGAAUAUGCCCCCCAUUCCAUUGUUUCAGAAUGUAGUCCGUGGAGUGUAAAAACAUCCUAUGUAUGCUUACGAGCACUGGAGAGAGAUAGAGCCACAAGUGACAUUUCGAAUAACUCAUUACUGCUUUUCUUUUCUUGCUGCGGUUUAGGGUAACGGUAAGAUUUUCAGCACUUUUCGAAACAGAGAUAGUGUGGACAUAUGUCCGACUGAAAUAUCGAUUUGAAGGUACGUUUUACUUAUGACCUUAAUGUGAACUGGCAGAGACAGUAUGUAUAACAAGUGAACUCUUGUUAUAAUGUACUUGUUUUUUAAAAAUUUGUUCUAGAACUGAUUGAUUAUUAGAGAUAAAUCAAACAUUAAAAACAUAUCAGGCAUAUUAUAUUUCAAAGCUAUCGUGUUUGAGUCGAGCUUUAACUAUAUUUAGAUGGAUGUCCUUUUUUCCUUUUUAGACUUUGAACUUAAAUUAGUCGGCUACAAUAAGGAUAUUAUUGACCAUGAUCAGUAGGCCUAAAUGAAUGGUAAUUGUGUCAUUAACCAUUAUUUUUAUCAUAAAAUAAAAUUCUAAUGAAAAUAACUUAAUAAUAAUAAUCAUAAUAGUAAUAAGAAAUGAAAUACCUAUGAUGCAUUGAAUGCAUGUUCAUCACAAUAACAAAUGGAGGCUUUUAUUUUCAUGACCUAAAUUACUAAAUUGGUGGUCAUAUAUUACAUCAAACAAUACGUUUAUAACAGAACUUGGUCCGUUUCCUUUCGUCAUCCUCAUAGCUUCAGGUAGGCCCGCCCACCUUAUUCUGCAGCUAUGUACCAUUUAGGCCCAGAGCUGAGAAAUUACUCAAAUCAGUUACAAAAUAACUGUUUGGUGAUUAUUUAUUUACCACUGUAUUUAAAAGACUUUAAACUGUUCAGGAACUAUUUAUUAUUUUAGUUAACGGCAAACACAGGACAAUAUUGCCUAUUCCAAAAUCAAGGACGAUACCGAAAUUUGAACAGAAGCUUGGAUUCUAUAAACAUUGAAAUAAAUGUUGUCCAGUUGCUCAUCAUUAGUAGGGUAAAACUAACUUGUCUCAACGACGGUCGAAUUAGAUUGGGAGAGAACGAUUCGGGCCAAGACCAAAAACUGCAGGGUUCAAGAGCACACUAUUUGCCUUACCAUUUCAUCUUCCUGUGAAACGGAAUCAUUGAUUGAAUGAGUUGGAGGAAUUCAAUGUCAGAAAAUGGAAUUGUGCUGAUUCAUAUGAUUUUAUUUGACUGAACAAAAUGCAUAGGUAUACAAAUAAAGAACCAUAAAACUUAA